GGAAAAGUUCCUCCAUGUGAGGACUUUGUUUCAGAUUUCAAAUCAGACCCACCGAGGGCUCUGAUACCAUGUGAGAAAAUAGAACAGAAGAAGAAUAUUGAGAAUGAUUGAAGAGCUUGAUUAUUCCUUCAAGCCAAUGGUGUCAAUUUAUAAUCUGUACAGGACAACUAACUAGGAAAUACAAUCCUAAUUAAAUGCGUAAUUAUAGCCACGAUUCUAGCACCUAAAUAUAUU
rnacentral:misc_RNA from 1 species